rnacentral:lncRNA from 1 species
GGCGUACGCAGCCGGCUACCCGCCGCCGGCAGCCUUCUGGCAGUGGAUACCGCCGACGUCGCUGGACACGUCCAAGGACCCCGCGCACUGGCCCCCCGUUGCGUGAUCAGCUCGAUGACGCACGGCGGCCAUCGUCGGAGGAUGUAGAAGGUUGACCAAAGCACGCGCCCGGAGAUAACAUCGGUUCCUGGUGAUUGUGUAGCGGUGUCUAUGAUUAUGAUGUGGGUAUAAUGAUCCAGGGCUCGCUGUGGGUAUAAUGAUCCAGGGCUCGCCUGAUACGAAUUCCUGGUGAUCGUCGCUCAUUGGAGCAGUCUAUGUAACAGCUCUAAUGUUAUAGUGAUGAAUAUGAUUCAUAAUUAUAGGAUCGACGAUGCUUUAUACUCCCUCCUAACACAUGAUUAGUACUUUAUUGUACUACUUCUGUAUGUAUAAAUAGUGUGGAUGCAUCUCAC